rnacentral:rRNA from 1 species
CCUACGGGAGGCAGCAGUGGGGAAUAUUGGACAAUGGGCGAAAGCCUGAUCCAGCAAUUCCGCGUGUGUGAAGAAGGCCUUCGGGUUGUAAAGCACUUUAGUGGGGGAAGAAACAGCUUGGCCACACCAAGCCUUGACGGUACCCCAAGAAUAAGCACCGGCUAACUCUGUGCCAGCAGCCGCGGUAAUACAGAGGGUGCAAGCGUUAAUCGGAUUUACUGGGCGUAAAGGGUGCGUAGGUGGCUAUUUAAGUCGGAUGUGAAAGCCCGGGGCUCAACCUCGGAAUUGCAUUCGAUACUGAGUGGCUAGAGUUCGGUAGAGGGCGGCGGAAUUUCCGGUGUAGCGGUGAAAUGCGUAGAUAUCGGAAGGAACAUCAAUGGCGAAGGCAGCCGCCUGGGCCUGGACUGACACUGAGGCACGAAAGCGUGGGUAGCAAACAGGAUUAGAUACCCUGGUAGUCCACGCCGUAAACGAUGAGAACUUGACGUUGGUUCGUUUUACGAAUCGGUGUCGCNGCUACGACGAUAAGUUACUCCGUCCGUCGGGUAGGUACGGCCGGCCGAACGGUUAGGUAAACGUUAAAACGUUAGUAAGUUAGUACGGCGUGAGACGUGCCGAACGGACGACGACGAGGGAGGUAGG